rnacentral:rRNA from 1 species
UACGGAGGGCGCGAGCGUUGUCCGGAUUUAUUGGGCGUAAAGCGCUCGUAGGCGGCUUGUUGCGUCGGCUGUGAAAACCCGCGGCUUAACUGCGGGCUUGCAGUUGAUACGGGCAGGCUAGAGUUCGGUAGGGGAGACUGGAAUUCCUGGUGUAGCGGUGAAAUGCGCAGAUAUCAGGAGGAACACCGGUGGCGAAGGCGGGUCUCUGGGCCGAUACUGACGCUGAGGAGCGAAAGCGUGGGGAGCGAACAGG